AGAAAACUCCUCAGAGCCUCAGGUUGUGGGGGAAUACAUUCACGCCUAUGCAGACGUACAUAUGUGGUAUAUCUAGCGGGAUUUAAAUCCACAUCGUCACACCACCACUUAAUUCCACCCUCCCGCAGAGAACUCCGUGGUCAUCGAAAAGACUUGUCCGAGAUAUAUGACACUCAAUAUUUGGUAAUCAAGGAUUGGCCGAGAGAGAGAGAAAGAGACUUUAUGAACGACGCGACGUUGAGAAAAGAGUCGCUUGGAGUGGCCAUUUUUUGAUAGUACAUUAUGCUUAUCAAGGGGAGUCCUAGGGAUUAUAGAAGUUGCCAAAAGAGAGAGGACGAUUUAUUUUUCUCCGUCUCCUCGUUCCGAACUUGUUUGUUCGGUUAGGAAAUCUGCAGACCUGACUCAUCUUUCUUUGCUUUUCCAAUUUCGCUCCGACAAGCUCUCCGAGAUGAAUCAUGAUCAGAAUUUCGUUUCUUCCCUGCCAUUCUUUGUGAUUCUUGGCUGGAAUACUCGUCGAUAAUCGAAUUGUCUCCUUCUGGGUACACCUCGAUGUUUGGCCCGCCGGCAACUGAUUUUUUUGUUCCCAUUCUUGGAGAAGAAGCUAGUGCAGUGCCACUUCUUAUCUUUCUAUCCUCAUGUUCCUUAGGAACCAAAAUCCCAGGGUUGCCCAUUCGAAUCCAUUCAUUCAUUUGAACCUUUUCGAGUUUUUAUUGGGGAUGGAACUGUGUAUGUCAGCAAUAUACGUAGAAGAUUCCCCUCCCUUAAUCAAAGCCCACUCAUAUUAUCACAAUCAAACGAGGAAUACUAAAAAAGUUGCAUGUCUACUCAAGAAGGAUAAAAAUGAGGAGGCGGAAGCCAAUCUCCAAGUUCUUAAAGAGAUCAUCAAAUCUAACUUUUUCCAGGCCAGUGAUCACUGAUCAGAGAGUGGGCAAAAAACUUCGAGAUCAACUCUCUUCCUCUGCAUCCUUGCCUUCUUGGAUGUCUGUGAUGUACGCUUAGGAAUCAGGAUCAUCUUCAUUAGUCGCGACAUCAGAUCAAAAGUGAGGAAAAAAAAUUGCUCGCACUCCCUAACCUCGAACAACUCCGCUUAGUGCACGCUUACCUUUGGGCACCGAGAACAUAUUGACGAGGGUUCGCAUGGCAAGCAUUUGACAGUUGAUGGGCAUUUCGCUCUUCAUGUUGGCCAACAUUAGCGAAAGAAGAUCGUUCAACACAACAUCUUCCAAGAGGACAGGGUUGACGGAUGGAUUGGUAAUGGCUAAUCGAAGGAUAUCCAAGGCAGGGAAAGCCAAAUCUUUGGGCCAUCUUAAAGCUUUCAUCAGACUGGCAACGUCACCGGUGGAACCGUCUAGAAGCAAAUACGUCAAUGAUUGAUACUCUGAUCUUUGUAAAUCUUAAAAGACCAACUCACCAGACGAGCAAAGGGCUGGCAAUCGUUCAAGAAUGGCCUCAUCCACUUUAAGCUCAUCUCCUACUUGAGAAUUGAAUUCCUUCAACUUCUUGACCAUCAUCUCUACUUUGGGUUUGACUGAAAACGCGAGGUAACU